CGCCUGGUGGAACAGCACACCAAACUCACCGAAGAGAAGUCCGCCCUCUCAGAGGACCGCGUCCGCCUCGAAGCCGAACUGAACGCCCUCAAAAACCGCGGCUUCUGGUCCCGCCUCUUCGGCGGCUAGCCCCCCACGAACCACCGCGACGCGGAGCAUCAUGCCCCGCCGACCGCGCCCUUAGCCGCGCGGAAGAAGCGUUCUGUAUUUUCGGUAUUGAAUGAAACAAACGAAAGUAGUACGUUAACGUUGUGGACGAGGCGCA
rnacentral:misc_RNA from 1 species